CUACGGACUUAAUUGGAUUGAGCCUUGGUAUGGAAACUUACUAAGUGAUCACUUUCAAAUUCAGAGAAACCCUGGAAUUAACAAAAAUGGGCAAUCCUGAGCCAAAUCCUGUUUUCCGAAAACAAACAAAGGUUCAGAAAAAAAGGAUAGGUGAAGAGACUCAAUGGAAGCUAUUCUAAGAAACNGAGGAAUCUUUACAUCAAAACUUCAGAAAGAAAAAGAAUGAAGUGAAGGAUAAACGUAUAUACAUGUGCAUUGAAUACUAUAUCAAAUGAUUAAUGAUGACCCGAAUCCGUAUUUUUUUUAUAAAAAAUAGAAGAAUUGGCGUGAAUCGAUUCUACAUUGAAGAAAGAAUCGAAUAUUCAUUGAUCAAACCAUUCACUCCACAGUCUGAUAGAUCUUUUGAAGAACUGAUUAAUCGGACGAGAAUAAUGAUAGAGUCUCGUUCUACUGUCAAUGCCGG
rnacentral:ncRNA from 1 species